rnacentral:rRNA from 1 species
GAUGAACGCUGGCGGCGUGCCUAAUACAUGCAAGUCGAGCGAACGGACGAGAAGCUUGCUUCUCUGAUGUUAGUGGCGGACGGGUGAGUAACACGUGGAUAACCUACCUAUAAGACUGGGAUAACUUCGGGAAACCGUAGCUAAUACCGGAUAAUAUUUUGAACCGCAUGGUUCAAAAGUGAAAGACGGUCUUGCUGUCACUUAUAGAUGGAUCCGCGCUGCAUUAGCUAGUUGGUAAGGUAACGGCUUACCAAGGCAACGAUGCAUAGCCGACCUGAGAGGGUGAUCGGCCACACUGGAACUGAGACACGGUCCAGACUCCUACGGGAGGCAGCAGUAGGGAAUCUUCCGCAAUGGGCGAAAGCCUGACGGAGCAACGCCGCGUGAGUGAUGAAGGUCUUCGGAUCGUAAAACUCUGUUAUUAGGGAAGAACAUAUGUGUAAGUAACUGUGCACAUCUUGACGGUACCUAAUCAGAAAGCCACGGCUAACUACGUGCCAGCAGCCGCGGUAAUACGUAGGUGGCAAGCGUUAUCCGGAAUUAUUGAGCGUAAAGCGCGCGUAGGCGGUUUUUUAAGUCUGAUGUGAAAGCCCACGGCUCAACCGUGGAGGGUCAUUGGAAACUGGAAAACUUGAGUGCAGAAGAGGAAAGUGGAAUUCCAUGUGUAGCGGUGAAAUGCGCAGAGAUAUGGAGGAACACCAGUGGCGAAGGCGACUUUCUGGUCUGUAACUGACGCUGAUGUGCGAAAGCGUGGGGAUCAAACAGGAUUAGAUACCCUGGUAGUCCACGCCGUAAACGAUGAGUGCUAAGUGUUAGGGGGUUUCCGCCCCUUAGUGCUGCAGCUAACGCAUUAAGCACUCCGCCUGGGGAGUACGACCGCAAGGUUGAAACUCAAAGGAAUUGACGGGGACCCGCACAAGCGGUGGAGCAUGUGGUUUAAUUCGAAGCAACGCGAAGAACCUUACCAAAUCUUGACAUCCUUUGACAACUCUAGAGAUAGAGCCUUCCCCUUCGGGGGACAAAGUGACAGGUGGUGCAUGGUUGUCGUCAGCUCGUGUCGUGAGAUGUUGGGUUAAGUCUCGCAACGAGCGCAACCCUUAAGCUUAGUUGCCAUCAUUAAGUUGGGCACUCUAAGUUGACUGCCGGUGACAAACCGGAGGAAGGUGGGGAUGACGUCAAAUCAUCAUGCCCCUUAUGAUUUGGGCUACACACGUGCUACAAUGGACAAUACAAAGGGCAGCGAAACCGCGAGGUCAAGCAAAUCCCAUAAAGUUGUUCUCAGUUCGGAUUGUAGUCUGCAACUCGACUACAUGAAGCUGGAAUCGCUAGUAAUCGUAGAUCAGCAUGCUACGGUGAAUACGUUCCCGGGUCU